GUUUGCACCACAUCCAUCAUUGAAAGUUCUAAUUCCAAUUCUCCCUUGCCAGCAGCUGUCACCCAUAUAUGCCUGUUUAUCUCCGCUAACUGAAAGCCGGAUAUUGUUUUGCUCAAAACAUUUACAGGAGAAAAAUUGUCAACACGAAUUUCUCGAGGAGAAGGAGUUUCCGUAUCAUUCCCUGAAGAUGUGAUUUAACCAACACCCUCGUAGGAAAUAAUUUCCUGACAAGAAAUUUCAUUAGUCGCCUUCAACUAGAGAUGGAAGGCAAGGCGUGUACAAAAUUCAAGUGUUGUACACACUCUUGCACAGGGAAAUUUUCAGUCAACCCGGGUGCUAUUGAACUUAAUUUGAUUUGUUUUUCGGAUCACUUGGCUGCUGUGACAACCUUGACCUAAUCAUCAACGCAGCGGAUAAUCAUUUUUUCCUAAGAUAAGACAAAUUUUCGUGUUUUUGGAUAUCUGGACGAAACUUCCCUCUAAGUCACUGGGACUUUAAGUUAGAAAAAUUGCCAGACUCAGCUGUUUUCACUCGAAUGGAUAACGGAAUUAAUUGAACGUUUAGACGAUAAAUUCUUAUUUGAAAUCGAAAUUGAAAAAAAGGAGGAAAAAAUCUACCACACGAUGAAUCAGAAACCGAAUAAAUUGGAUUGCCGGCGUGAAACGAGAUUUGUCUGCGUACAAAAAAAGAAAACGAAGAGGAAACAAAAAGGAAAACAAAAGAAAAACUUUAUCAUUGAAAUCUGUAUGCGGUGAUG